UGAGCACGCCUGAUUUCAUCUAAUCUCAGAAGCUAAGCA
rnacentral:rRNA from 1 species